GAACGCUGGCGGCGUGCCUAACACAUGCAAGUCGAACGGGAACCUACUAACGGAGACUUCGGUUGAAGAUAGUAGAAUUCUAGUGGCGGAUGGGUGAGUAACGCGUGGGUAACCUACCUACAAGAAUUGGAUAACAGCGAGAAAUUGUUGCUAAUACAAUAUAAGCUUACGUUGUCGCAUGACAGAGUGAGAAAAGAUUUAUCGCUUGUAGAUGGACCCGCGUUUGAUUAGCUAGUUGGUGGGGUAGAGGCCUACCAAAGCGACGAUCAAUAGCCGGCCUGAGAGGGUGACCGGCCACAUUGGGACUGAGACACGGCCCAAACUCCUACGGGAGGCAGCAGUGGGGAAUAUUGCACAAUGGGGGGAACCCUGAUGCAGCAACGCCGCGUGAGUGAAGAAGUAUUUCGGUAUGUAAAGCUCUAUCGAUAGGGAAUAAGAUGAAGGUACCUAAGUAAGAAGCCCCGGCUAACCACGUGCCAGCAGCGGC
rnacentral:rRNA from 1 species